rnacentral:rRNA from 1 species
CCUGCACCUGCCGGCGACCGGGCGCACGGGUGAGUAACACGUAUGGAACCUGCCCGCCACAGGGGGAUAACCCGGGGAAACCCGGCCUAAUACCCCAUGCCGCCCGGACCGGGCAUCCGGACCGGGCGAAAGGAGGAAUCCGGUGGCGGCUGGGCAUGCGGCGCAUUAGCUUGACGGCGGGGUAACGGCCCACCGUGGCGACGAUGCGUAGGGGUUCUGAGAGGAAGGCCCCCCACACUGGAACUGAGACACGGUCCAGACUCCUACGGAAGGCAGCAG